rnacentral:snRNA from 1 species
AUGCUUUGGCAGCACAUAUACUAACAUUGGAACAAUACAGAGAAGAUUAGCAUGGCCCCUGCGCAAAGAUGGCACAAAAAAUUUGUGAAGCGUUCCAUAUAUUA